UACGUAGGCAGCAAGCGUUGUUCGGAGUUACUGGGCGUAAAGGGUGCGUAGGCGGUCCUGUAAGUAUGGUGUGAAAUCUCCCGGCUUAACUGGGAGGGUGCGCUAUAGACUGCGGGACUAGAGGGUGGGAGAGGAAAGUGGAAUUCCUGGUGUAGCGGUGAAAUGCGUAGAUAUCAGGAGGAACACCGGUGGUGUAAACGGCUUUCUGGACCAUUUCUAACGCUGAGGCACGAAAGCGUGGGUAGCAAACAGG
rnacentral:rRNA from 1 species